rnacentral:lncRNA from 1 species
GCUCAGCAGUCUCAUUGAAGCGAGCGGCGGCGGCCGCGCCGUGGUAAACAAGUGCCGGGCUGUCAAUCAAGAACUAGACCGGAGCAGGAGAGGACCGGCCUAAACCGGCGCGAGCAGAUCCCAGCCGGCCUGCCCGCGCGCCGCCGCCGCCGCCGCUGCCGCCCGCGCGCCCCGCUAUACAUACGGCAUACGUCGCGCGGCGCUCGCGCCCGUGCCCGCGCAACCUAGCCUGCUGGCCGGGGGGCGGGGCGAGCGAGCCGCGGCGCUUCCGCUUUACACGCCCCAGCCGGCGACCGGUUCCAUCUGGCUCGGGCCACUCUGACACCUUUAGUUUCGGCAAGGGAUAUUGGGGUGGCGAAGGGGAGGCGGGGGCCCGAAGGCUUCGGAAAACGAUGGGGGAGGGGGCAGAGGAUACCCGUCGAAGCCCCCCCCUCCCCCAACAUUUCGAUAUUGGAAUCACUUUCCUUCUUCCUCGGGCCAGCCUUUGCUCUGUCCCCUCAGGUCAACUCAAGGUAGACAGUGUGGCGACUGGAGAGGUCGGGGAACAAGCUUUGUUUCAGCUAAGGGGAAAACAAGCGUUCACAGGAGUCCCCUGACACCUCCCACUCGGAAGAUAGCUAACGGGGGUCCUGCCAACCCUUCCCAUCCAACUUCCAUCUGAAAAGGAUUUUCUGCUAAAGUUGGGUCCAUGGCCAUCCAGCACCUGUAAGGCCGGCAGGAGCGUCUGCCCUCUACUCAGUUAAAGCCUGAAGUCGUUUCCUUUCGAUGGCCCUUAGGAGGCCCAAAAGAGGGGCGACAGAACAUGAUGUUGACACGGGCUGGGCGCCCCCAGAAGCCCGGGAACAAACGUUUCUACUUUCCAGGUCCACUGGUGUUUGGUGUACCCAUGUGACUAAUUUGUCCAAAGAGAGAUUUCUGUGAAUAGACCAGAAGCCGACCUUUACAGUGUGUUUGGGUGCAGCCCACGUUGGAGCUCUCUGCUAACAGAGACCAAUGCUGUCACAGAGAACAAAGAAGAGCAGGAAUGAUGGAAUGGUUCUGGUGUCUUCUGCCUUAGGGGCUGCCUCUCAUGACAAGCUGCAACACUCAGACUCACCUGUUUUUACUCCCCAUUCCCUCAGGAGUGGUUGCUGUUGUUACAAUCUGGAGGCUCUUGCAGAGCUCUCUGUUCUAUGCCAUUGAUAUGGUUUGGCUGUGUCCCCACCCAAAAUCUCAUAUUGAAUUGUAAUCCUCAUAAUCCCCAUAAUCCCCACGUGUCUAGGGAGAGACCAGGUGGAGGUAAUUGAAUCAUGGGGGCAGGUUUCUCCCAUACCAUUCUUGUGAUAGUGAAUUCUCAUGAGAGCUGAUGGUUUUAUACGUGUUUGGUAGUUCCUCCUGCAUUCAUUCUUCUCCCUGCUGCCUUGUGAGGAAGGUGCCUUUCUUCCCCUUCAUGUUCUGCCAUGAUUGUAAGUUUCCUGAGGCUUCCCCAGCCAUGCUGAACUGUAGUCAAUUUAACCUCUUUCCUUUAUAAAUUACCCAGUUUUGGGUAGUUCUUUAUAGCAGUGUGAAAACGAACUAAUACAGCCCUAUACUCUGAUAUCAUUUCAAUAAUUUUAUUCUCUGCCCUAAGUAACCAAUUGGUUUCUCCUGCCUAUAAUUAAGUACUUUAAUAAUAUAUUAAGUGUUACAAGAUAUGCUUAAAAAUAAAUAAAUAUAACAUUGAAUAUAUUUGUUAUCUAUGCUACUGCAACAAUGUUUUUGUUUUGUCCUUAAUUUCUCUGCAUCUUACUGA